ACGUGACGCGCAGCACAAAUCACUGGAAGAGAGACUGAUCCUCGCUGUUUGUGAGUUUCCAGAAUCUGUUACUGUUUAACUAAACAGGACAUCAGCAGGAGGGAAUUCACACGGCAGAGCGUCCCCGCAAAACUAGAUGAAGGCCUGGCAGCGAGGAAGCACACAAAGCAGGAUUCCACCAUGAAUGAGGAGUGGAAGAGCAUAUUUGGAUCUCUGGAGCUGCUCUCCGCCCAGCCCGCCACGGUACGAGCAGCGGCACCAUGGCCUGCUGGGAAAUGCGGUUCCAGCUCCCCAUCUCAAACCACUCCCACCCAGCCCGAAUCAGACGACUGCUGAUGCAUCCGCCCUACAAAUCAUCGCAGCCGUCUCCUCACAGUGUUCACGGGAUCUACUGCAGUCCUGCUGACGGGAACCCUCUGCUGCUGACUGCUGGGUCUGACACAGUCAGCAACACCACACCGCCUCUGUACAACAUCAGUGUGACACAAAACACAGUCCGUGUUACGAACUGAAGGUUAAACCAAAACAAAACACCAGAUCUUUUAUUUUAGACAUCUUUAAUUGUAGAUUUUGAAAAGCUGCUCCAAAAUCUGCAGAGCUCCUCAGUCUAGAAGGAGCCGGUGUCACCGUCAUCCUGGUUCCUCCAAAUGUGGGUUUUGUACAUGACCCACAAACAAGUGAACAGACCCUUAGUGAAGAAGUGGUGUGAGAAAAGGAUUCGUUAGCCGUAAAGAGCAAAACACCACAUUCAUUUUUACUACCCCGUCUCAUCUUUGCCAGCUUUUUCACUACUAAUUACUUUGCAUCCCUGUCAACAAACACUCCAGCUGCUUCCUUUUAACAGUUGCUAAGUUGAGUUACUGCUCAGAGGAGUUCAGCAAAAUUUCUCCUCACAGACACAAAUAAAAACAGAUGAGACUGAAUCACGAAGGCUGAAAGCUGAGAUGUGAAUUAUUGGACACGGCGGUCAAAACAAAAACGAUAAAGAAACGCAGACAGCUGGUACUUUAUCAUUACACUCGAACGUUUUAGUUGUGGUUUCCAGGUUCUGGGAUCUGGCGUAUCCUGAGAAGGUCGUACAUCGUGGCGGGAGGAGCCAACGACUCGCUGCACUGUCCCGUUUGUUCUCUACAGCCGGAAGAUCAUCGAAGGAACUGAAGUCGUACAGGAGAUCCACAGUAAACAGAAGAGCGGCGUGGUGGAGGACUCGCCUCGCCGCGGGCCUGAAUCCCUCCCCGUGGGACACCAUGACAUCAUCACUGACAUCGCCAGCUUUCAGACCACACAGGGAUUCAUCGUCACCUGGUCCAGAGACGGCAUCGUCAAAGUCUGGAAGUGAGGACGAGCGGCGGCAAGAGACGAUG